rnacentral:misc_RNA from 1 species
GAUGAAGAACGUAGUGAAAUGCGAUAAGUAGUGUGAAUUGCAGAAUUCAGUGAAUCAUCGAAUCUUUGAACGCACAUUGCGCCCCUUGGUAUACCAUGGGGCAUGCCUGUUCGAGCGUCAUUUGUACCUUCAAGCUCUGCUUGGUGUUGGGUGUUUGUCUCGCCUCUGCGUGUAGACUCGCCUCAAAAUAAUUGGCAGCCGGCGUAUUGAUUUCGGAGCGCAGUACAUCUCGCGCUUUGCACUCAUAACGACGACGUCCAAAAGUACAUUUUUACACUCUUGACCUCGGAUCAGGUAGGGAUACCCGCUGAACUUAAGCAUAUCAAUAAGCGGAGGA